rnacentral:rRNA from 1 species
UACGUAGGUGGCGAGCGUUAUCCGGAAUUACUGGGCGUAAAGCGUACGCAGGCGGCUUCUUAAGUCUGACGUGAAAGCUCACGGCUUAACUGGGAGAGGUCGUUGGAGACUGGGGGGCUUGAGGCGAUGAGAGGGGUGUAGAAUUCCCGGUGUAGUGGUGGAAUGCGUAGAUAUCGGGAGGAAUACCAGUGGCGAAAGCAACACCCUGGCAUAGGCCUGACGCUCAUGUACGAAAGCGUGGGGAGCAAUCGGG